rnacentral:tRNA from 1 species
ACUUGAAUAGCUUAUUUUAGAGCGCAACACUGAAGAUGUUGAUGAGGUAUUAAAUAUCUUUGAGUA